GAAGUUGGUUACCAAAAUUUAUUUGAUGCAAUUUUGGAUUCAAUUUAUGCUGCUCUUGAAAAAGUAGGGGGUUCAAAUGUGAAGAUUGUUGUGUCUGAAAGUGGGUGGCCAUCUGAAGGUGGAACUGGAGCUAGUGCUGGAAAUGCUGCAACAUAUUAUGGGAAUUUGAUUAGGCAUGCUAAGGGUGGGACUCCUAAGAGGCCUAAUGGACCUAUUGAGACUUAUCUUUUUGCUAUGUUUGAUGAAAAUCAGAAGCCAGGUCCUGAAAUUGAGAGACACUUUGGACUCUUUAGGCCUGAUAAAUCACCAAAGUAUCAACUAAGUUUCAAUUGAGAUAUACUAGUGAUUGGUGGUUAUGCAUAAUAAAUAAACUAAAUGUAACUUGUAAUAAAAAGGGUACCUAGUGCUCAUAUGGUUACUUUUAGAUAUUUACACUAAUGAAUAAUGAUAACAAAUUCUGUUGUGUACUCACACUUGUAUGUUUUCU
rnacentral:lncRNA from 1 species